AGUGAACGCUGGCGGUAGGCCUAACACAUGCAAGUCGAACGGCAGCACAGUAAGAGCUUGCUCUUACGGGUGGCGAGUGGCGGACGGGUGAGGAAUACAUCGGAAUCUACUUUUUCGUGGGGGAUAACGUAGGGAAACUUACGCUAAUACCGCAUACGACCUACGGUUGAAAGCAGGGGAUCUUCGGACCUUGCGCGAUUGAAUGAGCCGAUGUCGGAUUAGCUAGUUGGCGGGGUAAAGGCCCACCAAGGCGACGAUCCGUAGCUGGUCUGAGAGGAUGAUCCGCCACACGGGAACUGAGACACGGUCCAGACUCCUACGGGAGGCAGCAGUGGGGAAUGUUGGACAAUGGGGGCAAGCCUGAUCCAGCCAUACCGCGUGGGUGAAGAAGGCCUUCGGGUUGUAAAGCCCUUUUGUUGGGAAAGAAAAGCAGCAGGUUAAUACCCCGCUGUUCUGACGGUACCCAAAGAAUAAGCACCGGCUAACUUGGU
rnacentral:rRNA from 1 species